ACUUUGUAUCCAAUUAUUGGUGUUACAAGUCCGCAUCUUCGGAUAAGUAAUGAAAAGGGAAUCAGGUGCAAGUCCUGAACAGACCCGCUGCUGUAAACUCUUUUCAGUGAACAGUUAACAGUCAUCAGUUAACAUUCAUUGAUGUUGUUCCGGGCGAUACCCAAUGCCACUGGUCGACAGAUAACUGUCUAUCGGGAAGGCUGCACGGAGCAAGAGUAAGUCAGAAGACCUGCCAGUAAUAGUAUGAUUUUG
rnacentral:ncRNA from 20 species